rnacentral:rRNA from 1 species
GACGAACGCUGGCGGCGUGCCUAAUACAUGCAAGUAGAACGCUGAAGGAGGAGCUUGCUUCUCUGGAUGAGUUGCGAACGGGUGAGUAACGCGUAGGUAACCUGCCUGGUAGCGGGGGAUAACUAUUGGAAACGAUAGCUAAUACCGCAUAACAGUAGAUGUUGCAUGACAUUUGCUUAAAAGGUGCGAUUGCAUCACUACCAGAUGGACCUGCGUUGUAUUAGCUAGUUGGUGAGGUAACGGCUCACCAAGGCGACGAUACAUAGCCGACCUGAGAGGGUGAUCGGCCACACUGGGACUGAGACACGGCCCAGACUCCUACGGGAGGCAGCAGUAGGGAAUCUUCGGCAAUGGACGGAAGUCUGACCGAGCAACGCCGCGUGAGUGAAGAAGGUUUUCGGAUCGUAAAGCUCUGUUGUAAGAGAAGAACGAGUGUGAGAGUGGAAAGUUCACACUGUGACG